GAUGAACGCUGGCGGCGUGCCUAAUACAUGCAAGUCGAGCGAACGGACGAGAAGCUUGCUUCUCUGAUGUUAGCGGCGGACGGGUGAGUAACACGUGGAUAACCUACCUAUAAGACUGGGAUAACUUCGGGAAACAGGAGCUAAUACCGGAUAAUAUUUUGAACCGCAUGGUUCAAAAGUGAAAGACGGUCUUGCUGUCACUUAUAGAUGGAUCCGCGCUGCAUUAGCUAGUUGGUAAGGUAACGGCUUACCAAGGCAACGAUGCAUAGCCGACCUGAGAGGGUGAUCGGCCACACUGGAACUGAGACACGGUCCAGACUCCUACGGGAGGCAGCAGUAGGGAAUCUUCCGCAAUGGGCGAAAGCCUGACGGAGCAACGCCGCGUGAGCGAUGAAGGUCUUCGGAUCGUAAAACUCUGUUAUUAGGGAAGAACAUAUGUGUAAGUAACUGUGCACAUCUUGACGGUACCUAAUCAGAAAGCCACGGCUAACUACGUG
rnacentral:rRNA from 1 species